CUGCAAAAAGCUCUUGAAAAGUGUCCGGCAGAAAAACAAAGAGGAGACAUGGUCCGGUGCUCGGUGUAAAGAUCAGAGACAGCGCUUGACUCAGACCAAUUGCUGUAUCUCUCUUUUGGUCGGAAAAAGAAACGAAAAAAAACCGAAAAAAAAGAAAAAAAAGAAAAAAACGAAAA